UAGGGAAUCUUCCGCAAUGGACGCAAGUCUGACGGAGCAACGCCGCGUGAGUGAAGAAGGUUUUCGGAUCGUAAAGCUCUGUUGUUAAGGAAGAACGAGUGUGAGAAUGGAAAGUUCAUGCUGUGACGGUAAUUAACCAGAAAGGGACGGCUAACUACGUGCCAGCAGCCGCGGUAAUACGUAGGUCCCGAGCGUUGUCCGGAUUUAUUGGGCGUAAAGCGAGCGCAGGCGGUUAGAAAAGUCUGAAGUGAAAGGCAGUGGCUCAACCAUUGUAGGCUUUGGAAACUGUUUAACUUGAGUGCAGAAGGGGAGAGUGGAAUUCCAUGUGUAGCGGUGAAAUGCGUAGAUAUAUGGAGGAACACCGGUGGCGAAAGCGGCUCUCUGGUCUGUAACUGACGCUGAGGCUCGAAAGCGUGGGGAGCGAACAGG
rnacentral:rRNA from 1 species